CCUACGGGUGGCUGCAGUGGGGAAUAUUGGACAAUGGGGGAAACCCUGAUCCAGCAAUGCCGCGUGUGUGAAGAAGGCCUGCGGGUUGUAAAGCACUUUCGGUUGGGAAGAAAAGUUUGGCGCCAAUACCGCCGAACCUUGACGUUACUGACAGAAGAAGCACCGGCUAACUCUGUGCCAGCAGCCGCGGUAAUACAGAGGGUGCAAGCGUUAAUCGGAAUUACGGGGGGGGUAGUGCGCGUAGGGGGUCAACUCCCCGGGCUUAACCUGGGAACUGCAUUCGAUACUACAUGGCUAGAGUAUGGUAGAGGAAAGUGGAAUUUCCGGUGUAGCGGUGAAAUGCGUAGAUAUCGGAAGGAACACCAAUGGCGAAGGCAGCUUCCUGGACUAAUACUGACACUGAGGCACGAAAGCGUGGGUAGCAAACAGGAUUAGAUACCCGAGUAGUC
rnacentral:rRNA from 1 species